rnacentral:rRNA from 1 species
CCCUUAGAUGUUCUGGGCCGCACGCGCGCUACACUGAUGCAUUCAACGAGCCUAUCCUUGACCGACAGGUCCGGGUAAUCUUUGAAUCUGCAUCGUGACGGGGAUAGAUUAUUGCAAUUAUUAAUCUUCAACGAGGAAUGCCUAGUAGGCGCAAGUCAUCGGCUUGCGUCGAUUACGUCCCUGCCCUUUGUACACACCGCCCGUCGCUCCUACCGAUUGGGUGUGCUGGUGAAACGUUCGGAUCGGCCGUUUGUCGCGGUUUCCGCGUCAUGUGGCUGAGAAGUUCAUUAAACCCUCCCACCUAGAGGAAGGAGAAGUCGUAACA